rnacentral:rRNA from 1 species
UCCGGUGACAAUGGCGAAAGGGUCCCACCUGUUCCCAUACCGAACACAGAAGUUAAGCCUUUCAGCGCCGAUGGUACUUGGUUGGAGACGACCCGGGAGAGUAGGUCGUUGCCGGAU